rnacentral:tRNA from 1 species
GCAUUGUUAGCUCAGUGGGUAGAGUACCUGGUUGAAGCCCAGGGCGCGCAAGUUCGACUCUUGCACGAUGCA